rnacentral:rRNA from 2 species
AGGUUAAGUUAUGAAGGGCGCAUGGUGAAUGCCUUGGUACUAGGAGCCGAUGAAGGACGGGACAAACACCGAUAUGCUUCGGGGAGCGGUAAGUACGCUUUGAUCCGGAGAUUUCCGAAUGGGGAAACCCAAGCACCUUAGUCGGUGCUUGCUUGACCAGUGAAUCUAUAGCUGGCAAGCGGUAGACGCAGUGAACUGAAACAUCUCAGUAGCUGCAGGAAGAGAAAGAAAAUUCGAUUCCCUGAGUAGCGGCGAGCGAAAGGGGAGGAGCCCAAACCAGUGAGCUUGCUCACUGGGGUUGUAGGACUGAACAUUUGAGUUACCAAAGUGCGACGUAGUCGAAACAGUUGGGAAGCUGUGCCAGAGAAGGUGAGAGCCCCGUAGACGAAACGUCACACCCUCAGUUCAGGAUCCUGAGUACGGCGGGACACGUGAAACCCCGUCGGAAGCAGCGAGGACCAUCUCGCAAGGCUAAAUACUACCUAGUGACCGAUAGUGAACCAGUACCGUGAGGGAAAGGUGAAAAGCACCCCGGAAGGGGAGUGAAAUAGUUCCUGAAACCAUGUGCCUACAAGCUGUCGG